CGACCGGCGCACGGGUGAGUAACACGUAUCCAACCUGCCGUCUACUCUUGGACAGCCUUCUGAAAGGAAGAUUAAUACAAGAUGGCAUCAUGAGUCCGCAUGUUCACAUGAUUAAAGGUAUUCCGGUAGACGAUGGGGAUGCGUUCCAUUAGAUAGUAGGCGGGGUAACGGCCCACCUAGUCUUCGAUGGGUAGGGGUUCUGAGAGGAAGGUCCCCCACAUUGGAACUGGGACACGGUCCAA
rnacentral:rRNA from 1 species